UUAAUUGAAACCAAAAAGAGGUAUAUCACUGUUAAUGAUAUCAUUGGGUUGGGCCCCAAUUAAG
rnacentral:tRNA from 1 species